rnacentral:rRNA from 1 species
CGGGGUGAGUAACGCGUGGGUAACCUGCCCUGUACACACGGAUAACAUACCGAGAGGUAUGCUAAUACGGGAUAAUAUAUUUGAGAGGCAUCUCUUGAAUAUCAAAGGUGAGCCAGUACAGGAUGGACCCGCGUCUGAUUAGCUAGUUGGUAAGGUAACGGCUUACCAAGGCGACGAUCAGUAGCCGACCUGAGAGGGUGAUCGGCCACAUUGGAACUGAGACACGGUCCAA